CAGUCGCCGCGGGAAUACGAAGGGUGCAAGCGUUACUCGGAAUUACUGGGCGUAAAGCGUGCGUAGGUGGUGGUUUAAGUCCGUUGUGAAAGCCCUGGGCUCAACCUGGGAAUUGCAGUGGAUACUGGGUCACUAGAGUGUGGUAGAGGAUAGUGGAAUUUCCGGUGUAGCAGUGAAAUGCGUAGAGAUCGGAAGGAACAUCUGUGGCGAAGGCGACUAUCUGGACCAUAACUGACGCUGAUGCACGAAAGCUAGGGGAGCAAACAGGAUUAGAUACCCGAGUAGUCCCUGUCUCUUAUAC
rnacentral:rRNA from 1 species